rnacentral:autocatalytically_spliced_intron from 2 species
UGUGCGGGGGUUGUAAGGUGACAAUGUAGAUUUAUCUAGAGAAGUUACAAAGUAUGUUAUUAGAUUAAACUUCUGGAAAGGAGUGCCGUAGACGGUGAUAGCCCGGUGAUCGAAAAUUUCAUACCUUCUUGAUUGUCAUUCUUGAGUAACUCAAGACAUGAAUAGCUUGAGCGAAUCCACCAGAACUAACUGGUAAGGCUAAAUACUUUUUUAGAUCGAUAGUGAACU